GCGACCCCAGGUCAGGCGGGAUAACCCGCUGAA
rnacentral:rRNA from 1 species